rnacentral:rRNA from 1 species
GACGGGGCCCGCACAAGCGGUGGAGCAUGUGGUUUAAUUCGACGCAACGCGAAGAACCUUACCAGGGCUUGACAUCCCCUGACCGCGUAUGAAAGUACGUUUUCACCCUCGGGUGACAGGGAGACAGGUGGUGCAUGGUUGUCGUCAGCUCGUGUCGUGAGAUGUUGGGUUAAGUCCCGCAACGAGCGCAACCCCUACGUUUAGUUGCUAACGCGUGAAGGCGAGCACUCUGGACGAACUGCCGUUGACAAAACGGAGGAAGUGGGGAUGACGUCAAAUCAUCAUGCCCCUUAUGUUCUGGGCUACACACGUGCUACAAUGGCCGGUACAGACGGACGCAAAGCCGCGAGGUGGAGCAAAUCCUAAAAAGCCGGUCUCAGUUCGGAUUGCAGGCUGCAAUUCGCCUGCAUGAAGUCGGAAUCGCUAGUAAUCGCAGGUCAGCAUACUGCGGUGAAUACGUUCCCGGGCCUU